GUGUCAGCCGCCGCGGUAAUACGUAGGGGGCGAGCGUUGUCCGGAUUUAUUGGGCGUAAAACGCUUGUAGGCGGCCACGCUGCGUCGUGCGUGAAAUCUCCCGGCUUAACUGGGAGGGGUCGUGCGAUACGAGCGGGCUCGAGGCAGGUAGGGGGAAGCGGAAUUCCCGGUGUAGUGGUGGAAUGCGUAGAUAUCGGGAGGAACACCAGUGGCGAAGGCGGCUUCCUGGACCUGAUCUGACGCUGAGGAGCGAAAGCGUGGGGAGCGAUCCGGAUUAGAUACCCGGGUAGUCC
rnacentral:rRNA from 1 species